UACGUAGGGGGCAAGCGUUUUCCGGAUUUAUUGGGCGUAAAGAGCGUGUAGGCGGCUUGUCGCGUCUGCUGUGAAAUUUCGGGGCUCAACCCCGAACUUGCAGUGGGUACGGGCAGACUAGAGUGUGGUAGGGGAGACUGGAAUUCCUGGUGUAGCGGUGAAAUGCGCAGAUAUCAGGAGGAACACCGCUGGCGAAGGCAGGUCUCUGGGCCACUACUGACGCUGAGAAGCGAAAGCAUGGGGAGCGAACAGG
rnacentral:rRNA from 1 species